UACGAAGGGGGCUAGCGUUGUUCGGAAUUACUGGGCGUAAAGCGCACGUAGGCGGGUUGUUAAGUCAGGGGUGAAAUCCUGGAGCUCAACUCCAGAACUGCCUUUGAUACUGGCAACCUAGAGACUGGAAGAGGUUAGUGGAAUUCCCAGUGUAGAGGUGAAAUUCGUAGAUAUUGGGAAGAACACCAAGUGGCGAAGGCGGCUAACUGGUCCAGCACUGACGCUGAGGUGCGAAAGCUGGGGAGCAAACAG
rnacentral:rRNA from 1 species